GGUGUUGCAUGGCUGUCGUCAGCUCGUGUCGUGAGAUGUUCGGUUAAGUCCGCUAACGAGCGCAACCCUCGUCGUAUGUUAUAUGUGUCAUACGAGACUGCCGGUAAAAAGCCGGAGGAAGGUGAGGAUGAUGUCAAGUCAGCAUGACCUUUAUAUCCAGGGCUACACACACGCUACAAUGGUCUGUACAAUGGGUAGCCAAGCCGCGAGGCGGAGCCAAUCCUGAAAGCAGGCCUCAGUUCAGAUUGCAGUCUGCAACUCGACUGCAUGAAGCCGGAGUUGCUAGUAACCGCAGGUCAGCAAUACUGCGGUGAAUACGUUCCCGGGUCUU
rnacentral:rRNA from 1 species